rnacentral:rRNA from 1 species
CCGCACAAUCGUUGGAGCAUGUGGUUUAAUUCGAAGCUACGCUGAAGAACCUUACCAGGUCUUGACAUCCUCUGACAACCCUAGAGAUAGGGCUUCUCCUUCGGGAGCAGAGUGACAGGUGGUGCAUGGUUGUCGUCAGCUCGUGUCGUGAGAUGUUGGGUUAAGUCCCGCAACGAGCGCAACCCUUGAUCUUAGUUGCCAUCAUUAAGUUGGGCAUCUCUAAGGUGACUUGCUCGGUGACAAACCGGAGGAAUGGUGUGGGAUGACGUCAAAUCAUCAUGCCCCUUAUGACCUGGGCUACACACGUGCUACAAUGGACGGUACAAAGAGCUGCAAGACCGCGAGGUGGAGCUAAUCUCAUAAAACCGUUCUCAGUUCGGAUUGUAGGACUGCAACUCGCCUACAUGAAGCUGGAAUCGUUAGUAAUCNCGGAUCACUACCCCGGGUGUA